CCGCCCACUCCAGGUAUUUCAUGUCGCUCUCACCUGCCGCAUUCCUGCGCGGUGCCCGGAUGUUUGUGAGAGCAGCAGGAUGUUCGUUGGAUGAGUAGGACUCCGGUGGUCCUGUGACAGACACCAGCUGAAGAUGUGGAAGUGGAAAAGCUCCCACGCAGAAAUGCAGAAGUAAAUACCGUCAAAGUGGAGAACUCAGGUGACGCCGCGAGGUGGGCGGGGCUUUUCUGUCCACCUGCAGAGUGAAUGAAUGACGUGUUGCCGUGUUAACGGAAGCCCGCGCAGGACUUGUGCUUCUUCUCCACCUGCAGGAGUGAGGCGAAGCUGCAGAGCCACAGAGGAAAACAUCGGGACCGGACUGCGGCUGCGCGGAGUUUAGGGUCAGAAGUCCAUUUGUCUCAUGACGUCAUGAACCUGUCGUGCACAGAACACCAAUGCCAAGCAGAAGAACGUUGAAAAUGCCAGAAAGUGAUCCUCCUCAGACGUAGAGAUCUGCUCUUUGGAUGAAGAAAGGAUGGAAGUGGACAUCUGCAGGGACACCAGCGUCUUCAUCAACGGCUGCAGAGAUCCUGCAAACCAACCAUCAAUAAAUAAAACUUUAAUAAAUGGUAA